AACGAACGCUGGCGGCGCGCCUAAUACAUGCAAGUCGAGCGAGAAGACGUAGCAAUACGUUUGUAAAGCGGCGAACGGGUGAGGAAUGCAUGGGUAACCUACCCUCGAGUGGGGAAUAACUAGCCGAAAGGUUAGCUAAUACCGCGUACGCUCCUUGGACUUCGGUUCAGGGAGGAAAGCGAUACCGUGGGUAUCGCGCUCUUGGAUGGGCUCAUGUCCUAUCAGCUUGUUGGGAGGUAACGGCUCACCAAGGCUUCGACGGGUAGCUGGUCUGAGAGGACGAUCAGCCACACUGGCACUGCGACACGGGCCAGACUCCUACGGGAGGCAGCAGUAAGGAAUAUUGCGCAAUGGGCGAAAGCCUGACGCAGCGACGCCGCGUGGGGGAUGAAGGUCUUCGGAUUGUAAACCCCUUUCGGGAGGGAAGAUGGAACGAGCAAUCGUUCGGACGGUACCUCCAGAAGCAGCCACGGCUAACUUCGUGCCAGCAGCCGCCGCA
rnacentral:rRNA from 1 species